rnacentral:rRNA from 1 species
AUUGAACGCUGGCGGCAUGCCUUACACAUGCAAGUCGAACGGCAGCACGGGAGCAAUCCUGGUGGCGAGUGGCGAACGGGUGAGUAAAGUAUCGGAACGUGCCCAGUCGUGGGGGAUAACGUAGCGAAAGUUACGCUAAUACCGCAUACGAUCUAUGGAUGAAAGCGGGGGAUCGCGAGACCUCGCACGAUUGGAGCGGCCGAUAUCAGAUUAGGUAGUUGGUGGGGUAAAGGCUCACCAAGCCGACGAUCUGUAGCUGGUCUGAGAGGACGACCAGCCACACUGGGACUGAGACACGGCCCAGACUCCUACGGGAGGCAGCAGUGGGGAAUUUUGGACAAUGGGCGAAAGCCUGAUCCAGCCAUGCCGCGUGCAGGAUGAAGGCCUUCGGGUUGUAAACUGCUUUUGUACGGAACGAAAAGGUUUGGCCUAAUAAGCUGAGCUCAUGACGGUACCGUAAGAAUAAGCACCGGCUAACUACGUGCCAGCAGCCGCAGUAA